GUGAGUACGGUAGUGUACUAAACAGAGUGAGUACGGUAGUGUACUAAACAGAGUGAGUACGGUAGUGUGCCAAACAGAGUGAGUACGGUAGUGUAGUAAACAGAGUGAGUACGGUAGUGUGCUAAACAGAGUGAGUACUGUAAUGCACAAACAGAGUGAGUACGGCAGUAAACAGAGUGAGUACGGUAGUGAAGCAAACAGAGUGAGUACGGUAGCAAACAGAGUGAGUACGGUAGUGUACCAAACAGAGUGAGUACGGUAGUAA
rnacentral:lncRNA from 1 species